GCUCCCCACAGAGCCAGGGCAGAGACAGGUGAGGGUACCAGAGUGAGCACAUGGGGCCAUGUGCAGCUGUGCAGGAUCCUGUCAUGUGCUGCCAGGUCUGCAGUCUGUCGAAGCAUCAUGGUCCAUGUCCAUGAGAGAUUUGCCCUGUGUGGUGGCUGUUAUCUUUCUCAUGGCAAAGCUGGUAUUCCUGGACUUCUGUGUCCCUCUGAUGAUCAAAGGAGUGACC
rnacentral:lncRNA from 1 species